rnacentral:rRNA from 1 species
GGGUUGUGAGGUUAAGCGACUAAGCGUACACGGUGGAUGCCCUGGCAGUCAGAGGCGAUGAAGGACGUGCUAAUCUGCGAAAAGCGUCGGUAAGGUGAUAUGAACCGUUACAGCCGGCGAUGUCCGAAUGGGGAAACCCAGUGCAAUUCGUUGCACUAUCGUUAACUGAAUACAUAGGUUAACGAGGCGAACCGGGGGAACUGAAACAUCUAAGUACCCCGAGGAAAGAAAUCAACCGAGAUUCCCCCAGUAGCGGCGAGCGAACGGGGAGCAGCCCAGAGUCUGAAUCAGCUGUGUGUUAGUGGAACGGUCUGGAAAGUCCGACGGUACAGGGUGAUAGUCCCGUACACCAAAAUGCACAGGCUGUGAACUCGAAGAGUAGGGCGGGACACGUGGUAUCCUGUCUGAAUAUGGGGGACCAUCCUCCAAGGCUAAAUACUCCUGACUGACCGAUAGUGAACCAGUACCGUGAGGGAAAGGCGAAAGAACCCCGGCGAGGGGAGUGAAAAGAACCUGAAACCGUGUACGUACAAGCAGUGGGAGCACCUUCGGGUGUGACUGCGUACCUUUGUAUAAUGGGUCAGCGACUUAUAUUCUGUAGCAAGGUUAACCGUAUAGGGGAGCCGCAGGGAAACCGAGUCUUAACUGGGCGUUAAGUUGCAGGGUAUAGACCCGAAACCCGGUGAUCUAGCCAUGGGCAGGUUGAAGGUUGGGUAACACUAACUGGAGGACCGAACCGACUAAUGUUGAAAAUUAGCGGAUGACUUGUGGCUGGGGUGAAAGGCCAAUCAAACCGGGAGAUAGCUGGUUCUCCCCGAAAGCUAUUUAGGUAGCGCCUCGUGAACUCAUCUUCGGGGUAGAGCACUGUUUCGGGGGGGUCAUCCCGACUUACCAACCCGAUGCAAACUACGAAUACCGAAGAAUGUUAUCACGGGAGACACACGGCGGGUGCUAACGUCCGUCGUGAAGAGGGAAACAACCCAGACCGCCAGCUAAGGUCCCAAAGUCAUGGUUAAGUGGGAAACGAUGUGGGAAGGCACAGACAGCCAGGAUGUUGGCUUAGAAGCAGCCAUCAUUUAAAGAAAGCGUAAUAGCUCACUGGUCGAGUCGGCCUGCGCGGAAGAUGUAACGGGGCUAAACCAUGCACCGAAGCUGCGGCAGCGACACUAUGUGUUGUUGGGUAGGGGAGCGUUCUGUAAGCCUGCGAAGGUGACCUGUGAGGGUUGCUGGAGGUAUCAGAAGUGCGAAUGCUGACAUAAGUAACGAUAAAGCGGGUGAAAAGCCCGCUCGCCGGAAGACCAAGGGUUCCUGUCCAACGUUAAUCGGGGCAGGGUGAGUCGACCCCUAAGGCGAGGCCGAAAGGCGUAGUCGAUGGGAAACAGGUUAAUAUUCCUGUACUUGGUGUUACUGCGAAGGGGGGACGGAGAAGGCUAUGUUAGCCGGGCGACGGUUGUCCCGGUUUAAGCAUGUAGGCUGGUUGUCCAGGCAAAUCCGGAUAAUCAAGGCUGAGGUGUGAUGACGAGGCACUACGGUGCUGAAGUAACAAAUGCCCUGCUUCCAGGAAAAGCCUCUAAGCAUCAGGUAACAUCAAAUCGUACCCCAAACCGACACAGGUGGUCAGGUAGAGAAUACCAAGGCGCUUGAGAGAACUCGGGUGAAGGAACUAGGCAAAAUGGUGCCGUAACUUCGGGAGAAGGCACGCUGGUGUGUAGGUGAAGUCCCUGCGGAUGGAGCUGAGACCAGUCGAAGAUACCAGCUGGCUGCAACUGUUUAUUAAAAACACAGCACUGUGCAAACACGAAAGUGGACGUAUACGGUGUGACGCCUGCCCGGUGCCGGAAGGUUAAUUGAUGGGGUUAUCCGUAAGGAGAAGCUCUUGAUCGAAGCCCCGGUAAACGGCGGCCGUAACUAUAACGGUCCUAAGGUAGCGAAAUUCCUUGUCGGGUAAGUUCCGACCUGCACGAAUGGCGUAAUGAUGGCCAGGCUGUCUCCACCCGAGACUCAGUGAAAUUGAACUCGCUGUGAAGAUGCAGUGUACCCGCGGCAAGACGGAAAGACCCCGUGAACCUUUACUAUAGCUUGACACUGAACAUUGAGCCUUGAUGUGUAGGAUAGGUGGGAGGCUUUGAAGCGUGGACGCCAGUCUGCGUGGAGCCAACCUUGAAAUACCACCCUUUAAUGUUUGAUGUUCUAACGUUGGCCCCUUACCGGGGUUGCGGACAGUGUCUGGUGGGUAGUUUGACUGGGGCGGUCUCCUCCAAGCGUAACGGAGGAGCACGAAGGUUAGCUAAUCCUGGUCGGACAUCAGGAGGUUAGUGCAAUGGCAUAAGCUAGCUUGACUGCGUGACGGC